rnacentral:lncRNA from 1 species
UUUCUUUCACUGUGGUUUCUGUCAAUGCUGAUGGUUACCCUUACUAUUCUCCUCCUCCUCCUUACGAGUACAAAUCACCACCUCCUCCACCUUAUGAGCACAAGUCUCCUCCUUAUGAGUACAAGUCUCCACCUCCCCCAUCUCCAUCUCCUCCUCCUCCUUACGUCUACAAGUCUCCACCUCCACCACCAUAUGAGCACAAGUCUCCUCCAUAUGUGUACAAAUCACCACCUCCUCCAUCUCCUUCACCACCACCUCCUUACGUCUACAAGUCUCCACCUCCUCCUCCUUAUGUCUACAAGUCUCCACCUCCUCCUCCUUACGUCUACAAGUCUCCACCACCACCUCCUUAUGUCUACAAAUCUCCCCCUCCACCACCAUAUGAGCACAAGGCUCCACCAUAUUAUUACAAGUCACCACCACCUCCUUCCCCAUCUCCUCCACCUCCUUAUUACUAUAAAUCUCCUCCACCACCCUCUCCCUCACCUCCUCCUCCCUACUACUACAAGUCUCCACCACCUCCUUCACCAUCUCCUCCUCCACCCUACUACUACAAGUCCCCACCACCUCCUUCACCAUCUCCUCCUCCACCCUACUACUACAAGUCCCCACCACCACCCUCCCCAACUCCCUACUACUACAAGUCCCCACCACCACCAUCUCCAACUCCCUACUACUACAAGUCUCCACCACCACCAUCUCCAACUCCUUACUAUCCAUCCCCCACUCCUUACUACUACAAGUCUCCACCACCACCAUCCCCAACUCCCUACUACUACAAGUCUCCUCCUCCUCCUUCACCUACUCCUUACUACUACACUUCUCCACCACCACCCAAAUAUCCACCUCCCUACUAUUAUAACUCCCCUCCUCCACCUGUUGUGUAUCCCCCACACCCCUACCACCCCCACCCCUUGAUUGUCAAGGUAGUGGGUAAAGUCUACAGCUACAAGUGCUAUGACUGGGAGUAUCCCGAGAAGUCUCACAACAAGAAACACCUCAAAGGUACACACCUUAUUUUUCUCAUUUACAAUGCCUUCCAAUUAAUGUUCUCUGUGUUACCAUCAAACUGUUACUUUCCUGCUUCUUUGAUGUUCAUUAGCAGCCGCUUUUUGGAGUUAGGAGACUCCUAUGUUUCCAUAAUGGAAAUGUCUUUGUUUUUAAAAUUCAGUCACUUUCACAACCACCUUUUCUUAUCUGUCUGUUUUUCUUAUAAUUAACCUUUUGAGGUUAAUUAACGUGUUAAUAAGGUUUGAGGGAAAAAAACUGAACAGAUUCAGAGCGUCUAGAGUAAUGCACAAGUGAACAUUUUAUAAUGUGGUUAAUAGGCAUUUUAUAAUUUUAAUGAUAUAUUUAUCUGCAUUGAUCUGUGCAAGUAUCUUUAUAUAAAUUAAACAAAGAUACUAAAUAAAUGUCUUAGAUUAUGUGUGAUUAUCUCCAAAAGGAGAUUCAUAAAAAGGAAAAGAAAAACAGAAAUAUAAUUUAGAAGAAUCGGCUAAUGCCUGUAAUACAUUAAGAAAUAAUCAACUAGACACUUUAUAUAUGAACCUUUAAAUGAUUCUUAAUAUAUAAUAUAAUAUGGUAUCUGACAAAACUUUCACUUUAAUGAUAACUUGGUGUGUGGUAUGAUCUAUGAAUUGGAAUUAAGCAUUUUGGGGUGAAUGCAGGUGCUACUGUUGAGGUUAAAUGCAAAGCAGGAAGAAACAUCAUUAAGGCUUAUGGUGAAACUAAGAGCAAUGGAAAAUACAGCAUCACAGUUAAGGACUUUAACUAUGUGAAAUAUGGAUCCGUAGUGUGCAAGGCCAAGCUUUAUGCCCCACCUAAGGACUCUCCAUUCAACAUACCUACAAAGUUGAACGAGGGAACAGAGUUGAAGGUCAAAUCCAAAGACAAAUAUGAAGUUGUGUUGAAGGCUAAGCCAUUUGCUUAUGCUUCAAAGAAGCAUUUCAAAGAAUGUGAAAAGCCUAAGCCUUCACCAACUCCAUACUAUUACAAGUCACCUCCUCCUCCAUCUCCAGUUUACAUAUACAAGUCACCACCUCCUCCAUCACCUACUUAUGUUUACAAGUCACCACCACCACCAGUGAAGUCACCUCCCUAUUACUAUCAAUCUCCACCUCCACCAUCACCAAAACCUCAGCCUCCUUAUUAUUAUCACUCUCCACCUCCUCCAACACCAGUUGUUAAGCCACCAUACUACUACCAAUCUCCACCUCCUCCAUCUCCAAAACCUAAGCCUCCAUACUACUACCAAUCUCCUCCUCCUCCAUCACCAAAACCUAAACCUCCUUACUACUACCAAUCUCCACCUCCUCCAUCACCAAAACCUCAGCCUCCAUACUACUAUCAAUCUCCACCUCCUCCAACACCAGUUGUGAAGCCACCAUACUACUACCAAUCUCCACCUCCUCCAUCACCAAAACCUCAGCCUCCUUACUAUUACCAAUCUCCACCUCCUCCAACACCAGUUGUUAAGCCACCAUACUACUAUAAAUCUCCACCUCCCCCAUCACCCUCUCCUCCACCACCAUACUACUACAAAUCUCCACCACCACCAUCCCCAUCACCGCCACCUCCAUACUACUAUAAAUCUCCACCUCCACCAUCACCGGUUGUUAAGCCACCAUACUACUAUAAAUCCCCACCUCCCCCAUCACCCUCUCCUCCCCCUCCAUACUACUAUAAAUCUCCACCUCCAUACUACUACCACUCUCCACCUCCACCAUCACCAGUUGUUAAGCCACCAUACUACUACAAAUCUCCACCUCCACCAUCACCCUCACCUCCCCCUCCAUACUACUAUAAAUCUCCACCCCCACCUUCACCAUCCCCUCCUCCUCCAUACUAUUAUAAAUCACCACCACCACCAUCCCCAUCACCGCCACCUCCAUACUAUUACAAAUCCCCUCCACCUCCAUCCCCAUCUCCACCGCCUCCUUAUUACUAUCACAGUCCUCCUCCACCAUCUCCCACUCCUCAUCCUCCCUACUACUACAAAUCCCCUCCACCACCAACGUCCUAUCCUCCACCUCCUUACCACUAUGUGAGCCCUCCACCACCUUCUCCAUCUCCACCUCCACCAUACUAUUACAAAUCACCACCUCCUCCCUCCCCAGCCCCCGCUCCAAAGUACAUUUACAAAUCACCUCCACCUCCAGCUUACAUCUAUUCUUCCCCACCUCCACCCAUCUACAAGUAAGCUCGGAUUGUGGAAGCACCAUUCACCACAAAUCAUGUAAGUUCAGGAUUCCAACAUUGAUCAUAAGUAAAAUUAGUUAAUUAUACGUGUAUGAAUUUUAGUAAUGGAAAUUCCCACUGAAUUAUUUUUUCAGGUUCUAGUUUUCAUGGAGGAAUAAAGGCAAGCUCCAUUUGGAGUGAAGUGAAAUAUCUAUCUUCCUGUCCAAGUUCUUUGAAUAAUAAAAGUCUGAAUGUGUCAUCUCUGGGCUACAAUGUUUGUGAUUCAGACCCGGUUGGUUCAAUUUGUUUGAUGGCCAUCUUGCACGUCCUGAUCUUAUUGUGUUCAAGUGACGGACAAAUGAAAAAGAGGAAGAGAGAUUUAAAGUGUAAAUGCCAAGUGAAAGUGAAAAAGUACAGUCCACUCUUAGAGAUCUCUUAAAUUUAUUUGUUUAUAGGCCGUCUAUGAUUGCUUUUCUAUUUAUUGUGGAAUUUUUGUAUUGUACCAGUUGUUGUGUUUGCAAUAAGUAAUAGUAAUAAACCACCAAAUUCAGGUUUCCUAACUUUCCUUUAAAAUGAAUGAAUAAAUAAGAAGUAUAAAAAGUAUGAUACCACAACCCUUAUAUAACAAAACUACCUUAAGCUUAUUCUCUUUACCUUAAUCCUUACCUUAAACCUUAAACUCUGUUUCAAGACAACAAUUUGAAUACGAAAAACAUAUGUCACGCGUUGUAGACAUUAUUCAUUACCAAGUUUUCAACUGGGUCAGAGUAAAAAUUUCACAUCCUACACUUCUGAAAAUCCUCUUGUUAUUAUUCUUAUGUUACCACAAUUUUGGUUUCCUAAUAACCAUUUGCAUUUAUACCAUUCUCGAGAUAUCAAAUAGUACAUCAGAAAGAGUCUCUGCCUGAUGCCUAUCAAACUCAAUAUCUGCCCACUAUGAUGAUUCUUUAGAAGGCACCAGCUAAAGUUUCUGCAUGUUUGAACUUUGCUCAUAAACAGAUAAGAUAAACAAACAAUUGACAUAAAUUAUUUGGACUCAACACCAAAUCACGUUUCCUUCUUGGAAUCUUUGCUCAUUUCUUUUGUAGUACGUACCAAUUAUUAAUUAUUAAUUUAACUAUAAGUCUUCUUCUUCUUCUAGCCAUAUCCAAGCAGGUCCCAUUAUCUAAUUAAAUAGCCCCCAAUAAUCUGAUCAAAUCCACAUAACUGAUUCGUGGACCCUUUCUUCCUUCUAAUUCAUGCAAUUUCCCUAAAGUUACAAAAACUAAUUUCACACUGCUACUAACAACCACAGCAUCAGCAUCUUAAUUAUUUCAUUUACCAUGUCACAAAAUUUGAAGUUGUGAUGAUGACAAGUUCUAAGAUUAUUUAAAUAUGAAUCAGUAGUUUGAAUUUAUAUAAGCUAUCACUAACGCAUGAUUUAGUUAUGAUUUGAAUUAGUCAUUGACAGAUACUGAUAAUUUUUAACAGUAUUAAUUAUCAUCCUGAGUUGUAUUAAGCUCAAAUGUGUACCUAACAAAGGCAACUAAAAAUUAAAGAAAGGAAUUCACAAGCACUAAUUAUUGCUGUGUUUACAAGAAAACAAAAAAAGUGGUCUUCCAACUAAUAUAAGAGAAAGUGGCAACUUGCUAUAUAAAGGGAAACAUAAAGAUAGAAAAGGGUUGAAAUGCUAAUUUGUUAUGGGUGCUGUCAUGCAUCAAUUCUGAUUAAUCUAAAUUUUUGAAGUUAUAUAAAACUACAAAGAGAACGAUGGCGCACCGAACAAUCAUUAUAAAGAAGAGGUCUACCCACUAUUUGAGGAACUGCUCAUCAUCACUUAAUGUAAAGAAUAACUUUUUAAUAUUUUAUAACUUUUCAAACUACUAAUUAAAUAAAUGAGCAUAAAAUAAUUUGUAUGCUUGAACCAAUAAUGUUUUCUGAAAAAAAAAACACUAUUGUGAUGCUGAUGUUUAAUAAACAACUGUAUUAAGAAAUGGGUUUUUCAAUUAUCAUUUUAAGAAUUAUUUGGUUGUUUUCAAGAGGGGUUUCUAGGAAGGAAAGGAUGGGGUUGGGAAAGGAUUAAUUAAGUAACCUUUUGCUUUGGGGGUGUUUUUUUUUAUCAUCAACAAUAAUGAAUAAAUAAAUAUUGAUCACUUUAGGGGUGAUCCAACUCUUAUACAACAUACUAAAACAGUCGGCCAACAUAAUACUAUCUAAACUACUCAAAAGUCAUCUAAACUACUCUAAAACAAGAAGCUCCAGAACGAGAAACAAACCAUAAGUUCAAGACACCAAUCUGAAUAAGAAAAACAAGCAGAUGAAAUUUUAAAGGAAAUCCAAGAUCAAACUUUCAAUUGAGUUAGAGAAAACGUCUCUGAAUGAUGCGUCACUCCACCUUUAAAGAUGACAUUGUUCCUAAGACAGAAAAUCUCACUAACCAUCACAAUUCAAACAUUUUUCAAAAUCAAAUUAACAGAAUUAGGUGCAUUACACAGGUUGCUGGCAAGAAACUUGUAUUUCCAAACAAAGGGAGUGACAAAAUUUGUACUCUGUUGGUAGAAGAAUGAAGUACUAUAUUCUUGCAGCUGUACAUUUAUCUAAUAGAUGCAUGCACUGUUUUCCCAAGGUUGUUUCCAUUUUCUGUCUGUAUCACAUAUAUUAAGCAAAAUGUUCAUUCUGCUGGAUGCAGUAUUAUGCUGCAGAGAUUCUGCUUUUGGCUUAUUUUGUCUUAUGAGCUUUGAUUCUCUAAACCUUUUUGUAAAGAGUUGGAGAGCAUACCUUAAAUGCUUCAAUUCUAUUUAUUUCAUUCUUUCCCAAUAAAAGAAAAGGAAUUGUUCAUGUGAGAAAUAUUGGAAUCCUAUUAAGGUAUUUUUAUAACCAAUGUGAAGAAAUUUGGUCUGUAGUUAAUUUCAGUUAAGGUUUAUUGUCAUGGCUGAUUUUGAUUUUUACUCUUUGUAAACAACUGAAAUAAUUUACAACUAGCAUUAUGGAUAAUAAUCUUACAUUAGCAUAGGAUCCUAUUGUCAUUUUCACUUCUUCACACUACUAUUGCAGCAAAAUGGCAUAAUGUUGCAGUAGUUUGCACCAUCUUAGUCUCUUAAAGAUCCUUUUUUCUGUGCUCAUGUGAUGUAUGACAGAAGAUAUGCUGCCACUGAAAAAGAGGUUCUGCUUCUUCAUAUUUCACAAUCUUGUUGCACCUCAUGAGGUGUGUGAUUCAAAAAGUUAUUACAUAUAAAUACUAAUUAAUGGGAUGAAUUAUAUAAUAAUUAGAUAAUAAUAUUAGAAUAAGGACUAGUGUUUAAUCUCUAAUUUUUUUCUUAUUCUAAACAUACAUGUAACCAUGUUUAGAAAGUUAUUUGGUUUACGCAAUAACUAUAAGUGUGAAAAAUUUAAACUACUUUUUCAUCAUAUUUGGUUAAAGACAAAGUUUUAUUGUUUAAUCUGAUACCAUAUGAUGUUGUAUAUUUUUAUCAUUUACCUUCAUCAUCUUCACCCAAUAGUAAUGAUAAUAAUAUAGUAACCACAUGAAAUAUUUUAAUAUUUUAAUAUUUGAUAUUUUAUUGUUUAACUAUUAUAUUAUUUCACCUAGUUUUGUUUUGUUUUUAAAAGCAAAAAAUUACAAAAACAUAUAGUGUAAUUUUCGUAAUGAUAAUAAUUUAAAAAAUAAAUAAAUACUUCAACAUUACAAUAAAAUCAUUAGAAACUAAUUUUAAACCUAAAAUAAUUACUUACUAUUUGACGAUCACUUUAUAAAUUAAAAUAUUAUUGGUAUCUAAAGUAAUUUUUAUUAUUAAUAAAAAUACAUCAUUACCAAAAUUUUAGUUCCUUAUUAUUUAUUAAUCUUUUAAAGAUCAAAUUAAAAUUUAAAAUAUUAAUAGUUAAAAUCUUGAUCCUUAAUUUAGAUACUAAUUUAUAAUUUAUAUUAUUUUUUAUUAAUAAUAAAAUUAGUUUAAAUACGAAUAAUUUUUUAGUUUCAUUAUCUAAUUUAGUCUAUUAAUUAUUAUUUUUAUCUUAAAAUUUGGUUUGAUGGUUUGUUACAGUAGAAGUUCAUUUUUAUUGAAGUUUGAUUUGGUUCUACGUGUUAUGUUUUAGAAAUUUAAUUUCUUAGCGUCACUUUGGUCAUACGUGGUUCAUUCAGAUUGAGAGGCUAUGAGCCCAAUGGGCAAGCACCCAUUUCCUCUAAGAAUUAUUUUUCCUGCACCCCUACGUUUUUCUUUCUGCACCCCAUAAUUUUAAAAAUUCCAAAAUUGAUUUUGACCUUGACCCUUUAUUUAGAAAAGGACACCGUGAAAUGUGCUACGGACUCAUUAAUAAUAGUAUAAAUUAUUAUGUUAUACUCUAAUCGAUAUGAAUUAUAAAAACGUUAAAUCUCAGAAAAACUAUUUAAAAAAUAUUAAAAUUAAAAUACCAACUCACUCAAUGUAUACUUUUUUAUUAUGAAUAGAAAUAGUUCAAUCCUUGUUGGAUUAUAAACAUUUUCCUGAUUUUGAAAAAUAAAUAAGUAGCAAAUGAAUGAAGUGGAAGGGAUUAAUGGAACUGUAGGAUGACAAAGACUAAAUUAAUAAUUUACAAAAUUAAAAACCAAUUCAAUAAAUUGUUAUUAAUAUAAUGAAUUGAUGUUUUUGAUUUUUUCAUAUAACAAUUGGUGAAGUUCUGAGGUAGACAAGUUGUCGCCCAACAAACUUUGACACUUCUUCUCAGAACAAGUGGUAGACCAUACAUGCAUCCUUAUUCUAAACAAAAAAAAAACAUCAAAUGUUUCAAAAAAAAACUCAAUAUUAUCCAUACCGAUGUGAUAAUGUCGUAUUCAAAAAAAAAAAAUUAUACCAAUUUGUUUUACACUAAAAAAAAUCCAAACUUUCUUCAAAUGGGAGUAAAAUACUAAACUUUCCUUUUCUCUUGACCGAGUCAACUUUCUGAACCCACUUUGCUUGCAAUGAAAAAAUGUAAUUUUUUUGACUUAAUCGUUAUGGGAAAGAAGAUUGACUGAUACAAAGUUGGAACAGAUAUGAAAAGAACCUGAACUGUUUACAGUGGUGUCACGUUAUUACCAUGAAAGUAGAUUAAAACAAACCUCAAAAGGUUAUUAUUCUUCAAUUCCCUUCACGUAAGUUGCAGUGUGGAUACUGUGAAUUUUCUUUGCUUUCAACUGGGACCUGUAGAAAGAGAAAAUGACUGCAAACAAGAAAGACACCCUUUGGAUUUCUCUUUCUCUCUCUCUCUCUCUUUCCCUCGUAAUUUUAUUUUUGAGACAACUCACAGAAGUCUUGCAAGUUGUAACCUUCAGUUUCUGGUUUCAGCCGACUAGUUUGAUCAGGUUCCGUCUACCCAGAUCUACUUUUGCCACAAUUUAUUCACUUUUUUCAUUUCUUGGAUCUAUUGCAUCUCUUGGGUAUCCUUAUUCUAUCUCAAUUUGAAGUCUUUCAUGCCAAGCUUCUUCUGGGAUCCCUUUUGAUCUUCUUUGUUGCUUAGUUUCUCGUAUAAUUUGCUCCUUGCUUCUUCUUCUGGCUUACUAUUUAUAAAGAUUUUAUCUUUUAUCGUUUCUUAUAAUUAUUUGUUAUCUUGGUAUUUACGUUUAGUUAUGAUGGUGCCCCUCUUUAAGUUUUCAAUGUUCUUUCCAAUUCAACUUUGCUUGAAAGAUUAUAUUAUACAGUGUCCUAUUUUUUUUUCCUCUGUGAUUUUAUUCAUGGUCCUUUGUUUUAUGUCUUUCCAUGCUUUCUAGUACAAUUUCGGAUUGUCUGAACUUUGAUUGCUGUUAGAAACGAUGGGGAUGAAGUGAAAUUCAUGAGGUUUGACCCUGCAUAGCAUUGUCAUUUGCAUGUUUGAGAAUUUGGAUUGAUCUCUGAAAGUUCAUGUAAGACUUAUUUUCAGAUAGUGAUGUUGGUUCUUUCUCCGUAGUAGAAUUUGGCAUGCAACUAUAGUUGAGUUCUGAUGUUGCUUCCAUGUCCAAACUCCCAAGUAGUAAAGGCUUACAAUUUUACUUCUUAUAUAUUUCAUGCCCAUUUGCCCUAUUUGUUUAAUCAUAUAUUGUGCAGACAUUGUACUUCUUGUUUCUUCUUUGAUGAAUUAGUCAACUCUAAAUGAUUGGUUUGGUUACUUUAAACUUCUAUCUUAGUACAAGUAAAGAAUACUGAUUGGAAAAUAUAUAUUUUUCUUGAAUUGUGCAUGACAAAUGUUUGAAAUGGGCUUUAUUUCUACUUGGCAGUUAAGCGUGGUUUUGGCAGGCUAAUUCUGAAAACCGGCUAGAAUGAAGAAGGCCAUUGGUCAAACUGUUAGGGAACUGUGAGUCUAACUGUUUAGGGUGGUGUUUGUUACUAUUUUUUAACUCAGCCCUAUUUCAUAAUUCCUCACUAUCUUCAUUGUCCUUGCAGUAAAAGAGAAGUAAAUAAGAAAGUGCUUAAAGUUCCUGGGAUAGAACAGAAGGUAAAUUUUGUUCGCUUAACAUUUACUGUAAAACUGAAUUGCAUAUAAUAUAACUCAUUGCAAAGACAAUGGUGUGAGGAUUUAUGUGAAGUCUGCAAUCUGAAUUUACUUUUCUAAUAUUUGCUCACAAAAGAAAUUGUUUGUUGACUAUCUUGGAGCUUACACAUUAUAAUCUUACUGUGCAAAUUUUAAUUAGACUCGUCUCUCGUCUCUUCCAGAUUCUUGAUGCUACCAGCAAUGAAGCCUGGGGUCCUCAUGGAUCACUUCUAGCAGAUAUUGCUCAGGCUACCAGAAAUUAGUAAGCUUGAACUCAUCAUUUAUGCUUGAUAUUGUAUACAAAUAUCUCACUUUUGAGCUCCCUUGCAGUCAUGAAUACCAAAUUAUCAUGGAAAUAAUCUGGAAGCGGAUUAAUGACACAGGCAAGAAUUGGCGGCAUGUCUAUAAGGUUUGUGGAACUUUUUUAUGUUUUAGAUGGAAUUACUCUUGGAAUCUCUUUUUUCUUUUGUUUAUUGUCAUAACAACACUCUUCUGUUUUGACCUUCAAUAUGCAUCCGUGAACUGAAGUACACUAUUUAUGAAAUUUUCUCAAUACUUAUUUACAAACAACUAAUGGUUCUUGCCUUUCAAGAACUCUGUCUAGUAUGUUUAUGCAUUUAUUUCUGAUCAUGCCCUCUUGGAAAAGAAUGGCUCUUACAUUUUUGUAUUAAAUGUUCAACAACAGGCUUUGACAGUAUUAGAAUAUGUGGUGGCUAAUGGGUCAGAGCGAGUCAUAGAGGAGAUUAGGGAGCAUGCCCACCAAAUAUCGGUAAUUUCCUGUCAAUUGAAACAUUUAUAAACUGUUUAGUAUUUUUCAUUCAAACUAUUAAUAUUAUUGAAAUGAUCUAAAAAUUAGAAUGCAGCUUGAUAAUGUUGUAAAUGUUCAUAUCAACAGACAUUGUCCAAUUUUCAAUAUAUUGAUUCCAGUGGAAGAGACCAGGGAAACAAUGUCAGGAAGAAAUCACAGAAUCUCAUUCUCCUUGUGAAUGAUAAAGAAAGAAUCAUAGAGGUUAGACAGAAGGCUGCUGCUAACAGGGACAAGUAAUUCUCCUCUUAUUAGUCUGUUUUUUUAUAUAUAUUUUGAACUUUGUUAUUUUCCAGUUGCUAUAAAAACUUAUGUCUUCUGCCUUGCUGGGGAAGAAAAUAUAUUUCUUUUCCCUGUAUUUUGUAAUAUCCAUCCAUUGUGUAUUUGAAUUUCUUUUGGGUUUCUAGAUCACAAAUGUAAAAUCACAGAGUAUAUUAUGUAAAUAUGUAUGUGGGUUAAUCCGGAGGAGAUAUGUAAUGUAAUUGCCCAGCAUGAUUCACCAGGUUUCGCGCCAGUUCAACAGGUGGAAUGUACAGGCCUGGUUCUCAUUCUAGCAGUGGGGCUUAUGGUGAUAGAUAUGAAGAUGAUCGUUAUAGAAGCAGGGAGGAAGAUAGAAGUGAUCAUGGCUAUGGCAGAGAAAGAGAGUGGGGCUAUAGAGAUGAUGAUCGGUAUAGUCGUGAAGGAGAUCGUUAUGGCAGAGAUAAUGAGGAAAGCUACAGAAAAGAUGGCUAUAGGGAUGAUGAGUACCAUAGAAGAAGUGUUGAUGAUGGCCAAUAUGGCUCAAGAAGCAGGAGCUCUGACAGAGAUCAUGAUCAUAAUGUUGAUGAUGAUGGUCAGCGUUCAUCUGGGUACGUGCCUGAGAUAGCCAAAAAAAAACAUCUAACAAAAUCUGAAAUAGAUAAUGUUUUUAUUUUUCAUAAUUAUAGUUCUUGGGGUUCAUUUGGUUUUGGAUCUUAGACUCUUAUUAGUUGUUAUGAUCUGUAUAUAUAUAUAUGCAUAUUAGAUGUAAAAAACUUAGACUACUUCAAAAGACAAGUACACAGCAUAAUCCGUAUUAGCUUUGAUGUUAGGAUUCAUGGUUGCACAACAUUCCUCUCUCAUUCUGCUUACUCCAUCCUUUUUUACAAUGUUGUCUCAGAGGUAGCAUUGCUAAAGCUGAAGCUCAUUCAAUGGAAGGAAGGUAAAUCAUCCCUCUCUCUCAUAUCACACACAUAUCCAUGCAUAAUGGCCAUUUAGCAUUAUUUUGGAUGACCAUAUGCAAUUCCAUGGGCAGGUUAGAGCAGAAACUUUCUGAGCAAAAUGUGGGUGCUCCUCCCAGUUAUGAAGAAGCUCUUUCUCAAAGCCCUUUACACAAUGAAAGGUAUGAAUUUAAUAAUACCGAGAUUAUCUAUUCCAAUUCCGAACAUAUUUGUUACUAUAUCACUUUGAUUGAAGGGAUGGGGGAAUUUCAGCUGCAAAAGCCUCUUCUCCUGUAAGUGACAAUCCUACACAAACAGCUGCUGCUGCCAGUACUGCAACAUCUGGAAACCCAGAAUCUAAGGCUUUUGAUGAAUUUGAUCCUCGUGGUCAUCCUGCAUCAGGUGUGGCAAGUUCUUUGUUUUGAAAAUUGAGUACACAUGUUGAAGUUUAUUAUUUUUAAUUGUCCUUUUUCUACUUCAUGUCAGGUUCGACACUCACAUAUAUGUAUGUGUCCAAUGAAAUAUAUUUAUAAUUAUCAACAUAUGAUAGCAAAUUUUUAUUGUAUGUUUCUUAUUAGCUGCCCGAGCUCCUGCUAGUAAUGUUGAACUGGACUUGUUCGGCUCCCUAUCUGAACCAUUCUCUUCAAAUGCAUUGGCUCCUGUGUCUUCUGCACCAGAAACAACAACCUCUCAAGGCAACACAAACCUUGAUUCAACUGUGGCCUUUGCACCACCACCAUCUGCUACUAAUAAUUUCAAUACGGUAGGAAUUUGCUUUUUUGUUUAUACCUUGACUCUAAGAAAGUAUUUGAAUACGCUGUAUUAUUUAAUAAGAAUGAAUUUUUGUGUAUGGCUUGGAAUGAUUUUCUUGCAUGCUUAGGUGGGUAGCUUCAACUUAAGAAAUGUAGCGUAUUAAAUACUGUAACUUCUGUAAAACAUUAAUUUAAUUUGUAUCCUUUG